UAGCUCAUCAAGGUGGGUUCCUCCAGCAAGAACCCAGCCAGGGCUUUUGGGUGGCUGGGUUACUGCCUGAGUGUCGUUGCUGCUUGGGAGUGAGCCUGGAAGGAGUCUGUUGGUGCUUGCAGGUCUCCUUCUUGGUCCUCCUGUGAGAAGUGUUUUAUUAUUGCAGAAAUGGCACUUAGCUGUCCGUUGCUAGUUGUCAACAAAGCAAUGAACUACAGAUAAAAGUGCAUGAAACAAUCCUGUUGAAAAAUAGGGUCUGAGCCUUCCCUGCUGCAACUUUUGGCUUCCCAUGGGGUGCAGCAUUGAUGCUUUGUGGCUGAACAAAGCCAGCCUGUUGUAAAACCAGUGUGGAACUUUCAUCUGCUGCUCAAGUGUUCCUCUGUGGCUUCUGCCUUAUGUGUGUGGAAUUGAGGCUGACCCACGUUGAGAUGGGAUGGCGUUGUACUGCCUAACUCUUGUCCAAGGACAAAGAAGAGGAGUUUGGCUGUCUUGACAAUGACUGGUUCUGCAGUAGGGGUUUUUUGUGAUGUCAUUGGGAACAACUUGGUUGGUAUGUAUUCAGUGAACCCUUUUAGCUACACAGUGCUCUAUUUAAUAAUAAUGUUUAAGUCCUCAGAUAUAAAGAGCUCUUUCUGCUGAAGAGUACUGAGUCUUAUCCUCACUUAUCCUGUUACAGGGAGCCAUGGUUCCUCGCCUUUCUGCUGGGAGCACAUUAGACCUUGUGUAGGGCCUGGGUUUGUUGCCCUGACUGCAUCACAGCGUGACAGCUUACAUAGGAGCAACUAGGGGAUGGGACUGGCGUGCCAUCACCCAGCAGCUGGAGCCCACCGUGAGGUCCUUUGUCCCUUACCUGUGAUUUAAGACCUGACAGCAGCAGGGUGAGGAUCUGUACCUGUCAGGCACAGUGCCACUCCUGGGGAGACAGGUGGCACUUGUCACUGCUGCAGCUGGGGCCAUCCCCCAUCCAUGGGGCUGCAGAACCCAGUUGGCAGCUGGGACACCAUAGGAAUCCAGCCCAGAGAUAUGGAGCGUUGGCUUUAGCAGAUGGAAAUAAAUACACUGAAUGCAGCCCAAGAUGUUUGUGCUAGCUAACUGUGUGUGUGGAGGUAUUCCUGUGUCCAUGGUUUGUUCUCUUUCACAUCAUGAAACACAGUGGAGUUCUGGCAGCCGGGGGGAGCCCAAGGAGCUCCUCCAGUUUGAGCUCCAAGCCCCUUCUCUUUUCUCUGUGCCACACGGUAUCUGGUUUGCUGGUUGUGGGUUUAUACAAUUGACUUUGUGAUUUCAGGGAUUUCCCAAGCAAACAAGCAAACCAUCAAUAUUGCUCUAACAGAGUGUUGGUGUUUAUCUAUGCUUUUGCAGGAACACAGAUUAGAAUUACUGACUUUAAAUGAAACACCACCGGCAGGCGUGGUUUGUGCUAUGGGCUCAGGAUGCUCUGCUGCUAUCAGCCCUUUGUAGAGUGGGUUGUCUUGGGUGUAGUGAUGUGCUGAGCUGUCUGCCUGUACAGCACAUCACAUAACAACUGCUUGAGUUGCAUAAAUAUGUAUACAUGUGUCAUUUUUG